CACACACACACACACACAGAGAGAGAAACACCACAAUUUGUGAUUUGCUCUUUCAGCAAUAUUUCUUUCAUAACUUCCUCAGUGUGGUGUGAUAACAUUACUUGUUGUGAGAGUCUCCUUAACCCCGGCAGAGCUGAAAUGGAAGUGCGUCUGACCAGUCCCACUAGGGAGAAGCCAGAGACGUAUCAGCGAAGGAUUAUGGGAGAUAUAGUCCAGAGCCAAAUGCAGGAAUACUACAAAAAUGAACUGGUCAGAGCUGCACAGAGCGAUCCUGUUUUCCAGAAACCUACAGUGGUGCGGUCCAAUGAGGUGGAGGAGAGGGAGGCUACAGAUUCCAGUGGAGGAAGGAGGGACAGGC